UACGUAGGGGGCGAGCGUUAUCCGGAUUUACUGGGUGUAAAGGGGGCGCAGACGGACAGGCAAGUCAGGUGUGGAAGCCCCGGGCACAACUCGGGGAGCGCACUUGAAACUGCAGGUCUGGAGUGCUGGAGGGGUGAGCGGAAUUCCUGGUGUAGCGGUGAAAUGCGUAGAUAUCAGGAAGAACACCGGCGGCGAAGGCGGCUCACUGGACAGUAACUGACGUUGAGGCCCGAAAGCGUGGGGAGCAAAC
rnacentral:rRNA from 1 species